rnacentral:rRNA from 1 species
GAUGAACGCUGGCGGCGUGCCUAAUACAUGCAAGUCGAGCGAACGGACGAGAAGCUUGCUUCUCUGAUGUUAGCGGCGGACGGGUGAGUAACACGUGGAUAACCUACCUAUAAGACUGGGAUAACUUCGGGAAACCGGAGCUAAUACCGGAUGAUAUUUUGAACCGCAUGGUUCAAAAGUGAAAGACGGUCUUGCUGUCACUUAUAGAUGGAUCCGCGCUGCAUUAGCUAGUUGGUAAGGUAACGGCUUACCAAGGCAACGAUGCAUAGCCGACCUGAGAGGGUGAUCGGGCACACUGGAGCUGAGACACGGUCCAGACACCUACGGGAGGCAGCAGUAGGGAAUCUUCCGCAGUGGGCGAAAGCCUGCCGGAGCAACGCCGCGUGAGUGAUGAAGGUCUUCGGAUCGUAAAACUCUGUUAUUAGGGAAGAACAUAUGUGUAAGUAACUGUGCACAUCUUGACGGUACCUAAUCAGAAAGCCACGGCUAACUACGU